rnacentral:rRNA from 1 species
UACGUAGGUGACCAGCGUUGUCCGGAUUUACUGGGCGUAAAGAGCGCGCAGGCGGUCGUUCAAGUCGAGUGUGAAAGCCCCCGGCUCAACUGGGGAGGGUCAUUCGAUACUGAUCGACUCGAAGGCAGGAGAGGGAAGUGGAAUUCCCGGUGUAGUGGUGAAAUGCGUAGAUAUCGGGAGGAACACCAGUGGCGAAGGCGACUUCCUGGCCUGUUCUUGACGCUGAGGCGCGAAAGCUAGGGGAGCAAACAGG